rnacentral:rRNA from 1 species
GAUGAACGCUGGCGGCGUGCCUAAUACAUGCAAGUCGAGCGAACGGACGGGAAGCUUGCUUCUCUGAUGUUAGCGGCGGACGGGUGAGUAACACGUGGAUAACCUCCCUAUAAGACUGGGAUAACUUCGGGAAACCGGAGCUAAUACCGGAUAAUAUUUUGAACCGCAUGGUUCAAAAGUGAAAGACGGUCUUGCUGUCACUUAUAGAUGGAUCCGCGCUGCAUUAGCUAGUUGGUAAGGUAACGGCUUACCAAGGCAACGAUGCAUAGCCGACCUGAGAGGGUGAUCGGCCACACUGGAACUGGGACACGGUCCAGACUCCUACGGGAGGCAGCAGUAGGGAAUCUUCCGCAAUGGGCGAAAGCCUGACGGAGCAACGCCGCGUGAGUGAUGAAGGUCUUCGGAUCGUAAAACUCUGUUAUUAGGGAAGAACAUAUGUGUAAGUAACUGUGCACAUCUUGACGGUACCUAAUCAGAAAGCCACGGCUAACUACGUG